CCUACGGGUGGCAGCAGUGAGGAAUAUUGGUCAAUGGGCGUAAGCCUGAACCAGCCAAGUCGCGUGAGGGAUGAAGGUUCUAUGGAUCGUAAACCUCUUUUAUAAGGGAAUAAAGUGCGGGACGUGUCCCGGUUUGUAUGUACCUUAUGAAUAAGGAUCGGCUAACUCCGUGCAAGCCGCCGCGGUAAUACGGAGGGUCCGAGCGUUAUCCGGAUUUAGUGGGUUUAAAGGGUGCGUAGGCGGCCCUUUAAGUCAGCGGUGAAAGUCUGUGGCGCAACCAUAGAAUUGCCGUUGAAACUGGGCGGCUUGAGUAUGUUAGAGGCAGGCGGAAUGCGUGGUGUAGCGGUGAAAUGCUUAGAUAUCACGCAGAACCCCGAUUGCGAAGGCAGCCUGCCAAGCCAUGACUGACGCUGAUGCGCGAAAGCGUGGGGAGCAAACAGGAUUAGAUACCCUGGUAGUC
rnacentral:rRNA from 1 species